rnacentral:rRNA from 1 species
AUUGCCUUAGUAACGGCGAGUGAAGCGGCAACAGCUCAAAUUUGAAAUCUGGUCCCCCCGGGGCCCGAGUUGUAAUUUGCAGAGGGUGCUUCGGCGUCGGCUCCGGUCCAAGUUCCUUGGAACAGGACGUCACAGAGGGUGAGAACCCCGUACGUGGCCGGAAGUCUUCGCCGUGUGAAGCCCCUUCGACGAGUCGAGUUGUUUGGGAAUGCAGCUCUAAAUGGGAGGUAAAUUUCUUCUAAAGCUAAAUACCGGCCAGAGACCGAUAGCGCACAAGUAGAGUGAUCGAAAGAUGAAAAGCACUUUGGAAAGAGAGUUAAAAAGCACGUGAAAUUGUUGAAAGGGAAGCAGUUGCAGCCAGACUUGGCCGCGGGCGUUCAUCCGUGCUUCUGCACGGUGUACUCGACCGCGGUCAGGCCAGCAUCAGUUCGGGCGGCCGGAUAAAGGUCCCGGGAAUGUGGCUCCCCUCGGGGAGUGUUAUAGCCCGGGGCGUAAUACGACCAGCCUGGACUGAGGUCCGCGCUUCGGCUAGGAUGCUGGCAUAAUGGCUGUAACUGGCCCGUCUUGAAACACGGACCAAGGAGUCUAACAUCUAUGCGAGUGUUUGGGUGUCAAACCCAUACGCGUAAUGAAAGUGAACGGAGGUGAGAGCCGCAAGGCGCAUCAUCGACCGAUCCUGAUGUCUUCGGAUGGAUUUGAGUAUGAGCAUAGCUGUUGGGACCCGAAAGAUGGUGAACUAUGCCUGAAUAGGGUGAAGCCAGAGGAAACUCUGGUGGAGGCUCGCAGCGGUUCUGACGUGCAAAUCGAUCGUCAAAUUUGGGUAUAGGGGCGAAAGACUAAUCGAACCAUCUAGUAGCUGGUUCCUGCCGAAGUUUCCCUCAGGAUAGCAGUAACGUUUUCAGUUUCAUGGGGUAAAGCGAAUGAUUAGAGGCAUGGGGGGUUGAAACAACCUUCACCUAUUCUCAAACUUUAAAUAUG